rnacentral:rRNA from 1 species
GAUGAACGCUGGCGGUCUGCUUAACACAUGCAAGUCGAACGGUUGUAGAAAUACAGCAGUGGCGGACGGGUGAGUAACGCGUGAGAAUCUAGCUUCUGGUCGGGGACAACCAUGGGAAACGAUGGCUAAUACCGGAUGAGCCUUAGGGUAAAAGAUUUAUCGCCAGAAGGAGAGCUCGCGUCUGAUUAGCUAGUUGGUGGGGUAAAGGCCUACCAAGGCGUCGAUCAGUAGCUGGUCUGAGAGGACGAUC